AUUCUGGCACCCUCUCUCAGUAAGUUCCUUCUUCCCAGAACAUCCCUAGUGAAUGAAGAGCCUGAAGAGUCUCUCUGUUCACAGCCAACCUCCAGAGGCCACCACAAUCAGAUGACCAUAAAGAAAUUAUCUGACCUUCCUUGUCUGAUGGCACAUCAUAAGAAUACUGCCCCCCAUCAUAAAUGAUCCUGCUCCAUGCCCCAGGGAAAGAAUAUUGCACAGAGAGGCCAAGAAGAAUCUGAACAGACAGGACUCACUGGGUUUCCCCACUUGAUCAUACCUUUUAGAUCAUACCCUUUUGGUUCAAUCAUAUUUCGACAUGGCUGUCCACACUUCAUUGAGCCUAAAUAUAAAAGUGGAUAUCUACUGUCAUGAAUAUCUAAAAAGAACAAAUAAAAAAAAUUGGAUGGUUCACCCUU